rnacentral:rRNA from 1 species
UCCCCACCCGGGACAGAAACCAUUCGACUACGACCUCAGAUCAGACGAGACAACCCGCUGAAUUUAAGCAUAUUACUAAGCGGAGGAAAAGA